rfam:Thermoanaerobacter tengcongensis MB4, complete genome.
AAGUUCCUGUGGGGUUUGUAGCGGGCUAAUUUGUUUUCACCCAACGCAACCCAUACGGGAAUCCGGGUUCAUCAGUGGAUGAAAUGCCUGGGAAACCAGGACUUCAGAAGCUGGUGACAGGGUACCCACCUGCGAGAGCAGGGAUGAAAACAUAGCCGUACGGCUCCGUGGGUAAAGU